CUUCUUAAAUAUAUAUGUACAAAAACAUUACAUGGUAGUAUUCAUGUCUUAACCAGUUAAGCCCCAAUCCUGUUUUUCAGGCCUCAGGCUCGAAAAUGACAAUAGCCGCGUUCACACCAAGUACUUUGCCACCCCAGGACACUAAGUACAGAUCACGUUCACACCGGAAUAAGUUCCCUGAGGGAAGAUUAUGCAAAUGAGCCGCUGACGUCACUUCGUCUUCUUCUACUUUGGGUUUAACUGGCAGGCCACAAACCACUUCACGGCGAGUACAGUAGGUGGCGGUAUGCACCUUAAAGUUGUUUGCAAUCCGCUAAAAAACCAAGAGAAGAAAAACUUCCAGCGUAUACUGCCACGCCCACCCACCCGCUGUAUGUGUCUGUUUACCUUCCGACCUCAGACAUGAUGGAGAUGGAGUCGACAUAAGUUGUGCUGUUUGUGCUCAUGUUAUUCAGCUUUGUAACUGAGUUAUUGCAGCCUGAGCCAACUACGCCUUCGACACAAAUCCGGAGCCGCCACCCGUCGAAUGCUAUAAUCGCAAAGCUGCUUCAGCAUCAAAUGCGGUUAAAAAGCCUUAAGAAAAGGAUUGGACGACGAAAAGCACGCAGUAUGGCCAUGUUUCACCGUAGGAUGGCUGAUGACGAUGAGCGUUUUCACGCCCUAAGAACAGCAAUGAUGUCCAGCUGCUGGUGGUGGUUAAAGAAGAGCUUCUCCCUGACCAGCAGGAGUGGAGCACCAGUCUGGACCAGGAGGACCCAGAGCCCCCCCCAAACAUUAAGCAGGAAGGGGAGGAACUCGGGAUCAGUCAGGAGGGAGAGCAGCUUCAGGAGCUGGAGGAGGCUGAUAUCACCAAGUCCACUUUCACUCCUGACCCUGUGAAGAGUGAAGAUGAUAAAGAGAAACCUCAGUCAUCACAGCCUCAUCAAAGACAAACUGAACACAUGGAAACAGAAGCUGAUGGAGAUGACUGUCGAGGACCAGAACCAGCCAGGAACUCAGAUCCAGAGAGCAGUUUACAACCAAAGACUGAGGACCACACUGGAGACUCUUCUGAACCUGACACUGAAGACAGUGCUGAUUGGAAGGAGACCAGAGAACCUGCGUCAGGCUCAAACUCACUGAAAAAUAGACAAGAAUCUGUCAGUGAUCCAAGAGGUAGUGCUGGAAAGAAACCAUUUGGCUGCUCAGUCUGUAAGAAAGCUUUUUCACAGAGUGGAAAUUUAAAUCGACACAUGACAAUCCACACAGGAGAGAAACCAUUUAGCUGCUCAGUUUGUACCAAAUAUUUUGCAUUGAGUGGACAUUUAAAGGCACACAUGAGAAUCCACACAGGAGAGAAACCAUUCAGCUGCUCAGUCUGUAAGAAAGCUUUUUCACAGAGUGGAAGUGUAAAGGCACACAUGAGGGUCCACACAGGAGAGAAACCAUACAGCUGCAAAGUUUGUGACAAAAUAUUUAAAUGGCGUAAUCAUUUCAAAACACACAAGUGUGUUGGUCGUCAGUCCUCACAGCUUAAUGAAAUUCAAACUGAGGAUAACGGAGAGGCAGAGCCUCCAAUCAGCAGCUCAGCUGAACACAUGGAAACAGAAGCUGAUGGAGAGGACAAUGAAUAUGGUUUUCAAUUCUGACAGAAACGUCCCAGGUAGGCGGGACUUUCAGCGGUGCGUCCCCAUUGGAUACUCAGUUUUUGAGUGACAGUCCAGUCCUCCAGCGAUUGUACAGUGCAGCUGCGGCAGUUGAGCAUGGACAGAAGACCCCCAGGAGAGCCUGCAUUUCAAUUAUUAUAAUACUACAAGUGAAAAUAUAAGUAUUGAUCAUUUGUGUUGUUUGUGCUGUACUAUACGGUCUGUUUCUUUUUUGUGUUAAGUGAUAAGUAAAGAAAAUAUGUGCUAUGAAAGUUAGCUUUUGCUACUAUUGCGGCAGUGAUCUUCCAAACAAUGCCGCGAGGCACUAAACAAGAGAAAAACAUUGUGGACGCGCAAAAAACUCAGUCUUUCCAGCAGUAUGCGUUUGACCUUUUAUUUCCAAAGCAAAACCAUAUGCAUAGGCCUAUAUUCCUUUACGCGUGCGUGCGUGCGGUCAACAAAAAUUGUCCUUCUCCAGCUCACUCCCCCUCCAUCUAUUACAAAGUGCGCAGGUAAAAGCAACCGGGUAUAACCACAAACGUCACCACACAAAUCCACUCAAAAAACAUGUAUCGUAACAAACACAGUAAAAUACUUCAAAUGUGGCUCCUACAGCAGCUACCUUUAGAUCCAUAACAAUGCAAGCUAAGUAGCAGGGACAGUUAGCCACAUAGCUAGCAGUGAGUGAGCAUUCAGACACCGGCGCACACACUCAAACGGACUUGUGUGCCUGACUCUACCAACAGGCUUUCAUGAUUCUGUUUAGAUAUGCAAGUAUAAGCCACGUUAGCUUAUUUUAUUAACACACUAAUUUUAUAUGAAAAUCAAUGGAGGCUGAGUUAACUUUGUAGGAAAACCUACCUUCCCUGAUGCCCCUGAGCUGAGUUUUAGUUGUUAACUUCAUAUUUUUCAUUUCCUAAAUCAUUAAUGUUCCUCUCUUAAAAGUGUGGAUCAUUGAGACAGCAUGGUGUCCAGAGUCUUAUCCCGUUUUCCCACUUCCUCUGAGGGGACAGCAUUAGAUCCUAGGAGGGGGGGGCAUGAAGAAAGACCUGCACCAUCUUCAUCCACGCGUUGCUGUUAUCACUUGCUCAGUGUCAUUUUCAUUCAUGUCUUUACAUAUACAUUUAAUAGAUUUUAUUAUUAUCCACCUUUUAGUUUAAUGU